rnacentral:rRNA from 1 species
UACGGAGGGUGCAAGCGUUAUCCGGAUUCACUGGGUUUAAAGGGUGCGUAGGCGGGCAGGUAAGUCAGUGGUGAAAUCUCCGGGCUUAACCCGGAAACUGCCGUUGAUACUAUCUGUCUUGAAUACCGUGGAGGUGAGCGGAAUAUGUCAUGUAGCGGUGAAAUGCUUAGAUAUGACAUAGAACACCAAUUGCGAAGGCAGCUCGCUACACGAAUAUUGACUCUGAGGCACGAAAGCGUGGGGAUCAAACAGG